rnacentral:rRNA from 1 species
ACGCACGCUGGCGGCGUGCUUAACACAUGCAGGUCGAACGGUGAAGCGCCUUCCUUUUUGGUGGGUGUGGAUGAGUGGCGAACGGGUGAGUAACACGUGAGUAACCUGCCCCCUUCUUCUGGAUAACCGCAUGAAAGUGUGGCUAAUACGGGAUAUUCUGGGUCUGUCGCAUGAUGGGUCUGGGAAAGAUAUUGUUUCGGUGGGGGAUGGGCUCGCGGCCUAUCAGCUUGUUGGUGGGGUGAUGGCCUACCAAGGCGGUGACGGGUAGCCGGCCUGAGAGGGUGGACGGUCACACUGGGACUGAGACACGGCCCAGACUCCUACGGGAGGCAGCAGUGGGGAAUAUUGCACAAUGGGCGCAAGCCUGAUGCAGCGACGCCGCGUGAGGGAUGGAGGCCUUCGGGUUGUGAACCUCUUUCGCCAGUGAAGCAGGCCUGCCUCGUUUGUGGGUGGGUUGACGGUAGCUGGAUAAGAAGCGCCGGCUAACUACGUG